rfam:Pichia membranifaciens NRRL Y-2026 unplaced genomic scaffold PICMEscaffold_6, whole genome shotgun sequence.
GGGGCUAUGGCUCAAUGGUAGAGCUUUCGACUCCAAAUCGAAAGGUUGCAGGUUCGAUUCCUGUUGGCCUCA